rnacentral:lncRNA from 1 species
UGCAAAUAGGCAAUUACUAGAAAAAGCAAGUUAAGGGGAAUGAGUCCUGGAAACACUAAAAUAAACAUCAUUUCAUUUAAAUAUGCGAAGCAUUUGAAGUUACAUGUUCAUCUUUUGAAUAAAGUCAUUACUCACUACCCAAGAAGUAAGCGUCAUUCACUUAUCCUAGUUACAAAUUUUCUCGUUUAAUUAAGUCAUUGAAUGCAAUUGCAAACUAAACUGAUAAAUUAUCAACACAAGUAAUGAAAUGGAAUAUUUUGAAAUUCAUGAAGAUCCCAGAUGCACCUAACCAAUGUAUACUUAGUACAAUUCAAACAAGAAAAACAUACCCAAUCAUGGCAAGCAACGAGGAAAUGAUCUGCUCCUUCAGUUCUAUUCCAGAAAUUAUGUUUGGCUGAAAUCAUGUUGACAUAGUUCCUCAAAUAUUGAAUAAGGUCCUUAUGAUUAUGAGAAUUUUGCACAUAUAAGGUUUCUUCUAACAUCCGAGAACUAAAAGGUAAGUAAAACAGGUGAGCUUUUCUUGAAUCUCUAGUAACAAAUUGUUUGUUAGCUUCUAGCUGCUUCAUGAACCAUCCCUCUGAAGCAUAUAUUCCCUUCAGCACUGGCUCAUGUAAUAUGGGUCUUUGUCCCUCUUUGUAAACAUAAACUUUGAGUGUUUCUUCCAUCAAUUCAUAGCUCCUGCAAAUUGCAUUAUAAAAUCUAAACUAAUUAAUUAGUCCUACAAAUCGAAGUUGUAAUGGAUAUUUAUACUCUGCAUUAAACUUUAGCAGCGCAAAUUAUUUGGAAAUCAAAGAACAGAGGAGAUUGUGUAUCUUUGAUGAAAUAAUCAAAUAUCACCAAUUAUAGACACCAGUUAAUAGCAGGUAUUAAAGCAUUAAUUUGCAAUAAAAGUAUAUCAAUUAUAAGAUAAAUAAUCAAAUGGAAACAGAAUUAUGCGCUAACAGGUAAGUAAAAAAGAAUGGUGAUAAGAUUUCGGUGGAUUUUGUGGUACCUUUUGAACCUGGAAACACUCCGAUAAAGAGGAGCAUAAAGUUCAUGAUCAUUCUUUAAUAGGGGUGCAUUCUCAAUCUGUGAUCUAGCAUAUAACAUCUCUUGGUCAACGGCUGAGGACAAUCUUGGUCUCUAUAAACAACAGAGAAACAUAAACGUAGGUAAAAGUAAAUUGAUACAGAACUUAAAUCUCCAAACAUAAAAUUAGAAGCUUUACGCAUACCAUUGAUCGAUAUGAAGCACGAUUUUGUAGCAGCAUAUUUUUCAUCUCAGCGAUAGUGAUUACUGCAGGGGUUGGAAUCUCAGGCUUUUUAUUCUCCUUAGGAACAUCGACCCCGGAAGAAUUCUCCCCCAAUGUGUUCAAACUACUUUGUGCUGGUUUUUCGAUCUUGACUAAAGCGGGUGUUGCAUCCAUGUCCAUUGAAGAUGUGUUAGAAUCAAUUGUAAUAGGAGGAGUGCUAAUAUUUGCACCUUGUAGGGUAAUAUUAGAUGAUAAAUCCAUCACUGGGGACACAGGAAUAGGUGAAAGACCAGCCCCGCCUGAAUCAUUUCUUUGAAUAAAGCUCUGUUCUGAUUCUCUGCCCUUUUCUGGUCCAGGCCCAUUACCUGCAUUCUGGACAGUAUCCACAGUGGAAUUUUUAUUUAGCUCCUCCAAUUUCUCAGUCAUAGGCUCCUCAUGAUUAUCUUCCCCAUCAUAAAAAUCAUCUUGUAGAUUUGCAUCCUCUGCUUUGGAGGUUCUAGUAUCAUUAGCCAUCUCGUGCACAUUAUGUGUACCAGUAGAAUUCAAGCCAUUUGCAGUAUCACUGGCUAUCUCAGACUUAGAUUCCGGACCGCCAGUCACCAAGCUAUUGUUUUCCACUGCGGGUGCUGGAACCUUACCAGUAGAAAAUACCGAUGAUAAAACAUGAUCAUAGGGAAGUUCAAAAUAUUGGAACGCCACAAUCACUGUAAGCAUGAUUCCCAUAGGCCAUAGUAAUCUCUUCGUUUCCCCUUGACACAAGGAUCGAAUUUCAUAACCCAUUCAGAUAAUUGGACUGUCGGUUGACUUCCAACCAAAAUUCUCAUCACUGCACAGCCAAAAUCCAAUUUCAGCCAAAAAUGCCUUCUAGUCACUUGGUGUUAUGAAUCCAAUUUUAAAUAAAAGUAUAACUCAUUAUUUAUGCUCAAAGUUUCACAUGCAACUACAUUGAUUAACAACACUCAAACAAACAAGAAACAUAAACAACAAAAAAAGAAAAAGAAAAAAAAGCCAAAAGCAGGAUCUUCAACCAUCAAUAGCAUGCAAAUUUAUAGAAGCAAGAUCUCAUGUGAUCAUGAAACAAACACUGCAGUAAUCAAAUUUCCAGCAGAAUGAAUUAAAAUCAAACAGACAUGCAAUUCAGAAACCAACAACCAACUCUAAAUGCUAUUGAAAAUUUACCAAGAAAUAACGUGAAGGGCCUUCUUGUUGUUGGUUGCCACGAAAAUAUACGAAACCACUAAAAGGGAAACGAUUCUUUCCCUUAUUUAGUCGUUUUAAAAAUUCUGAGCAACCAAAUAGUCAUUUUCUUUAAUGAAAUAUAAUUAUUAAAAUUAAGAAGAGUACUGGAGCUCGUUCAAUCCUAUUUGGUAGCUUCCAGUCCACGUACUUCUGCUCUGUUUGCCUGUUUGGCGUUUAGUGACUGUUUUUGGGCUUGACUAAGAUGUAUUGUUUCAUUUAAAUAUAGGCUGUUCACCAGUUCGUCAAUUAUGAAAUGUCAAAUUCCCGAGUUACUCACGCGCACCUCGGCGAGUGUAUAUUCUCUACCAUGUCUAUUUGGUAUUUAAGGUUUUUUUUUUAGAAAUUAUCUACCAUCCACUUUAGGUUUACUCAGUUAUUAGAAAUAUUAUAGAAAUUUGAAUUUGUUCAAACUUUAAUAUUAAAUUUUUUUAAUUUGUAUCAAUCGUUCAUCAAAAUAUUAACUAACUUUUAUAAUUAAUGAUGUUGCAAGGAUAAUUCCGACAUCUGUUAUGUUAAAUACAAAAUAAAGUAAUAGCUUAAAAUAUAAAAAUAAAAAAUAUUUUUCUAUAACUAUUAUUCAAUUAAGCAUACUUAUGUUAACUAACUUUUAUAAUUAAUGAUGUUGCAAGGAUAAUUCCGACAUCUGUUAUGUUAAAUACAAAAUAAAGUAAUAGCUUAAAAUAUAAAAAUAAAAAAUAUUUUUCUAUAACUAUUAUUCAAUUAAACAUACUUAGAACUCGAUUUUGAAUUUUAAAAAAAUCUAAUUUGUCUUGUCAAUUUAUCUUCAAAAUUACAUAAUCAAAAUUAACCCACAAAUUAUUCUAAACCCUAAUUCAUAAACACAUUAUCAAUUCAAUCCUUAAAUUUAAUUUCAUAUUUUAAAAAAAACCUUAUUUUAUUUUAUUAUUUAUCAUGCAUAGUAAAGAAGGUCCUUAAAUUCAAGAGUAAAAUGACCAAUAUACCUAAAUUUUGUUAAAAUAUUCUAUCGGUGAUUGAUAAGAAUUACAAGCUUAAGCUAAAAAAGUAAAGAAAUUUAAGCUUUUUUAGUAUUUUUAUAACAACAAGCGCAAAAUCGUUAAAUUACUACAAUUGGUUAAUUUCUUAAUCGAAGGCUGAAGCUAAUGAUGUAGUAGAUAAAUAAUAAAAUUUGUAAAUUUUAUUGUAGAUGAAUGAUACAACUUAAAAGUGUUAUAAUAUUUUUUUGUAACACAAAAAUUUAAAAGUAUAUGACUAAUAAUUUUUUUUUAAUUUUUUUUAUUUCUACAUAAGCAAGCACAUAUUGAAACCGAUUUGAGUACGUAAUAUUAGAUUCAAUAAAAUUAUUUUAUUCUAAAAUUUUAUUAUAAAUGAUGUGACAUUCAAACAAUAAUGCGUGAAUUUUUCUUAUUACUCAAAGUUAGAUAUUACCAAACUUAAGUGUGUGGUGAGCUUACUAAAUAUUUAAGAGUUAAAUUAAUGUUAGAACACAUCACAAAGUAAAAAGAUAAAAACAAUUCAAUACACACGAUGGUAAACUAUUUCUGUUCCAUUCAAGUGGACAUAAGUUUAAGUAGUGUGCAUCUUCAGAGUGAUUUUAUUACAAAUAUUUAAAUGGUAUUAUAAAAGAAUAUUUAAAAGGUAUUUAAAUUCUUCUUAAGCAUAAAAAAAUGCAUGUUUCAAUAAUCAAGUCUAAUUUAAUAAAAAUCAUCAUGUAUCCCACGCGAAACAAAGAGCGUGAGCUCUCGCUUUAUUCUAUUAGGGCAAAUCAAAAUGGGCAAAGCUUAUGUUACAAGUAUUGUAACAAACAGCCAAUAGAUAUGGAUCAUUGAUUUUUAUAUUUCUUAAAUCCAAUGGAUGAAAGUAACUUUAACAUAAAAUAAGGUACGGAUGCAACAACAAUUUAAAGCAAAAUUUAUUUUUAGUUGAAUAUCUACUUAUUUUUUCAAAUUAGUUCUUAUUAAUUUUGUAUAACUAAAUAGUUUUGUCUAUCAUCUCUUCUACAUUUAUUUUUAAAUUUUUUACUAUAUUUUUAUAAGGACCUAAAUGCUUAUCAUGUUCAUAAAGAUUUACAAAUUCUGAAUAUAUAUUUUUACUUGUAUUUAUAAUUUAUUGUCUCUCUUAAGACAUGAAUUUUAUACACACACACACACACACCAUCAAUGCUUUCACAUAGAUUUUGAAAUCUAAAUUUAGCAUCCUGAAUUAUAAGAGAUGUUAUAUAUCAUAAAUAUCUUAUAAAUCUAAUGAAUUAUUAGAAAAAUGGUACAAUGAAUAAAUUACCAGAAUCUCCAAUAAUUUCACAAAAUAUAAAAACCAAUAACUUACCACAUUCUAGUUACAGGCAAAGAGAAUUUUUAUAUGAAAGAUUUCAAUUUUUUGAUCGGAUCAAUGAUUCAAACAUGUGAGGAAAUAAUCAAUUAAAUUGAAUUUCACUAUAUCUAUUAAAUAAAUUAGGAAACCCAAAUUUAUCUAUAAAAUGAUAUAGAAAGUGCAAACAAAAAAUUAGACAUUAAUAAUUUCAAUGAAGAAAAUAUAAAACAAUUAAAGAGUUAGGAGAUCAAAUGAGUAAAGAAUUUUAUAAAGUUAAACAAUUAACAAAAUACUCCAACAUUGAAGAUCGAUAUAUAUUAAAGAAAGAUAUCAUUAAUAUAAUUAAUAAAAACUCAAUAAAUGUAAGAUUAAACAAGUUAAAGAUUCAAUUAGAUAAAAUAGAAAAAAAAUUGUUGAGCAACUUAGAACUAAAUUUGCUAUAAAAUAUAAAUAGAAAAAUUUAAGAAAAUUAAAGUUCUAAGAUACAAUUAGGACAAAGAGGGCAAGUUAAAUUGAUUUCCAGCCAGCCAUCGAUGCAAUUUAAAUGAAAGAUUUGAUUGCAUACAGGAAAACUUCAACAAGUCGAGAGGUUGGUUUCAUCAUCUGCAAAAGUUUCCAAAGUAAAUAGAACAAUCACUAGAACUUGGUGAUGACGUACUUUCUUACCUUUUGUAAUUUACAAGAUACUUCAUUUUAUUUAAGGUAUGUUCUCUUUGCCUUUGCCUUUUUUUUUUAGGUUUGUAAAAAUUUGUUUAAUAUCUUUAAUAGCCAUGAGUUGGUUUGAUGAGACCAAAUACGAUCAAAAUCAAUAUACCAAAUGAAAAACCAAUCAAGAACGUGAUAAAAGAAGAAGAAGAAGAGGCACAAAUUAACCUAUGAGGCAAAUGUCGAUAGAAUUUCAGGUACUGUCCAAAAUAAUAAAGACUUGAGGGGGCAUGGGUUUUGCCAUUGAUGUUGACUAAAGGGUGGCUAAUGUCCCUCCCGAAAAAUUUAGAAGAUUUUUACAGGCAGCCUAGAAUUUAUAAUACAUAUUUAAAAUUUAUUGACUUUUUUAUAAUUAUCAACUUUUCUAAAGAUAUAAAAACUUUUAGCUGUGACCUACAGGCAAUGUAGUGUAAGCUUUGCCAUCAAAAUGUCGAUGUGCAAAGCUAUUUAAUAGCUUUAUUCUUCUUGUAGAUCAAUCAAAUGACCGAUGAUGCUACUGAAGCCGUGGGCACUGGGCCGUGGCUGAACUCAUUAAUAAUGCAUUUACUAUAUAUGUAAAUUUUGUUUUAAUUACGCCCUUUUUCUUAUGCAUUCGGAUCGGAGUCCCGCAGCAUGCAAAUUCAAUCACAAUCACCGGGUCUCAUUAAGUUUUCAACUAAAUUGGCAUUAAAUAAUAAAUUGUUUUUAUUUUGAAAGGAAAAUUAUUUUUGGGUUAAAAUAACGUUUUUUUUGGGUGACCAAUCUAUAAAAAUAGAGUAAUGAUACAACCACAAACUCUUGUACAAACUUAUUUUCUACAAACUAACGUGUCAUUAAUUCAUUAGUUGAAUGAAAACAUAAAUUAAUAAAAACAAAUCAUGUGGGCCAAGUGAUAUUUAAUUCAACCAAUCUUAUCAUGCCACAUCAGUUUGUACAAGAGUUUGUGGCUGUAUCAUUACUCAUAAAAAUAUAGUUCACUUAUCUUUUUUUUUUUAAUUUUAAUCAUAAUCUUGAGAUGAAAACAUUAGAUACUUAUGGUGAUUUUCCAAUAUGGUUGCACUUGAUAAUUGACUACAAAAUAUAAAAUAUUUAUGAAUGCACGUAGUUGCAGAAUGUUGUUGCUGGCAUAAAAGAGAAAUUCUACAGUACAUCAAUGUACUAUUUCAGUCAUAUAAUAAAUAAAUGAUAUUAUAACAUAUGUGUAUUUAUUUUGAAAGAUCAUAAUACAAUUGGCGGUUACAUUAAAUUCAAUUACAUAUAUUAUACAUGCAUCAAUUGAUUGUAUUAUCUCUAAUGUAUUAUAGAAUUUCUCAGCAUAGAGAGUGGAUAUUAACAUACCGUAUAUAUACUGGAUCUUACAAAGUGUAUGUGAUCUGUUUCUUUGCAUUUAUAAUUUUUUUUUUUUUUUGGUGUAUAUGUGAUAGUAAUAUUAGUGACAAAUUGAUGGGUCAAGCUAGACUUUUUUAAGCUCAAACUUAAGUCCGUGUUAGAGGAAAUAGAUCCAAGCCCUCUAGAAGCUCAUUUAAGUUUGGAGGGCUAAGCCUAGACCGUGCCCAUUCCGAGUGUAGACUUCAAUAUUUUUUUUAAAUAUUUUUUUAAAUUGUUAUAAAUCUGUAACAAGGAAUAAUCAACAACAAAUUAAAAAAAAUUGUCUCAAAAUAAAAUAAUAAAUAAAGAAAAUAAAAGUUUAUCGACUUAAUUUCUUAGAAGUGAUUUUAGUUCAAACAUCAUUUUAAUUAAUUAAUGAUGCCUCCUACAUCAUCAUCGUCGUCGUCGUCGUCGUCGUCAUAAUAAUAAUAAUAAUAAUAAAUAAACUACCUAAAGCCUGAAGACUUUAAAUUAAUUGACUUUUAAAUAAUUAAAUUUGAUAAGAAAAUCUGAAAUGAUUGUAAAUUGAUUUAUUAUUUUAAUUUAUAAAUUUAAAUUCAAUUAUUUAAAAAUAUAUUGAAGGUGGGUAGAAAUUUUUUUUAUUUAAGCCUUUUGUCCAAACGUCCUCAUAGCAGAUUUAAAAUUUUUUUGGCUUAUGUCUAAACUCUCAUGCAGGGGACCCCGCCUGGUCGGACGAUGACAUUUUGGCCAAGCCUAUAGAGUGAGGUUAUGGCUGGUUCUAUUUUUGUAGCUUCUACUCCUACGACUUUCAUUGAAAUAUUUUUGCUCUUUUCGAAAGGAUACAAGAAAGAUGCACCAUCAUGCAUCCCAUUAAUGAAAGAGAACAUCGUGUAUGGUAAAUCAAAAAUCAUGAUACGAAGCUAUUGACGGCUUUAUUCUCGUAAUCUAAGGAUUAAUAAUGCUACAUGCAAAUUACAUUGUAUUUAUAUAUUAAUUAACAAACCCCUUCAUUAUUAUAAGCACGUCAUUAUAUAGAUUGUGACAACGGUACCCCAUAAUAUGAGUUACCGUCAACUAAUCAAAAUAUAUUGAUUUUUUUUUUUAAUCAUCUAAAACUAACAAAUUGUGGAGUACGGUACCUAAGGGCACCUAGCUGCACCAAUUAUUUGAUUAUUUAUUUAAACACUGUGCAUUGGGUAAGAGAAAUAGAAAUGGAGAUCGACAGGGCUGAUGGGCGUAACCCUAAUCAAUUGAGACCACUUGCUUGCUAUUGCAGCAUCCUUCACCGUGCACAUGGCUCUGCCAGUUGGUCUCAAGGCUUCCGCUUCAUUCAGACCUCUCAUUUUUACCUUUUUAAUUUAUUUGUUUUCACUUCAAAAUGCUAUUUUUGUUAUUGGGUUUGGUUCAGGAGACACGAAAGUGCUGGCUGCUGUUUACGGACCCAAAGCUGGAACUGAAAGAAGAAUGAAAAUCCUGAGAAGGUUAGCAUUGAAGUCAUUUGGAAAUCUAAAACUGGACAGAUUGGUAAUCUUCUUUUCAUUUUUCCUUUUAAGUAUUUCCCACUGAGACUAUAUGAAUUCUACAUUAUUGUAUUGUUUGGUCCAAGCUAUGGCUUUGUAUGAAACUUUUGCUAGCUAAACUUGCAAAAUUGCCCAUUUAUAUUAGGGAAACAGGAAAAAGAGUACGAGAUGAUACUGAAGCGGACUUUGCAGAGCAUAUGCAUUUUGACUAUCAAUCCAAAUACCACAACCUCAGUUAUAAUUCAGGUGUGGUAAUUUCUUUCGAGUGCAAAUACCUUAAGGGUUAUGGCCUCUUGCCUGUGUCGAGCAUCACUUGUAAAUUUUACACUGAUAUUUUAAGGAAGAUGAUUGUAACCUUUUUAAGGAAGCGUAUAAUCUGACGGUUGAAAGAGAGAGCUUAGCCGCUUAUUAGUUAUUAUGAUCUUUCACGUGAUAAGGGCUUGCUUCCUCUUCUUGUUUAUUUUAACUUUGCAUUUCUCCUACACUGAUUUUCACGUAACUUUUAGUGAAAAAUGUGGAAAAGAUGGGCGGGACUAUUUCACUCGCUACACUUAAUUUUUUAGUAAUCCAUUAUAAAAUUAUAGUUUUACUGUACAAACCCUUUUAAUUCCAAAAACGUCCUUAAUUCGUUAUCAAUUUUCUUAUUUUAGGUGGUUUUGAUUUAUAUCCUAUUUGCUUCAUUUUCUGAUUUAUAUUAUAGAUAAGGAUUUCCCUUAUUUCCCAACCAUCUUUUUGUUUUUAAAUUAAAAAAAAAAAUCUAUAACUUUUAGGACUAUUAAAGCAAAGACAACAUACAUUGCAGAGAGGAUAGAGAGAGAAAUAGUAAUUAGAAUCAGUGGCGCAUCGAAAAAAAUAAUUUACCGGGGGCUAAAUUAGAUAAUAGUAAAAUAUAAAAAAUUAAAAUUUUGAAUAUAUAAAAUAUUUAUAAUUAGUCUCUACGCAUUUUUAUAUUUUAAAAAUUUUAUGUAAUAGACUCAUUAUCAAUAUUAUUAAAUUUAUUGUUUCUUAUAUAGACAACCAAAUUAUCACUUAUCCCAUCCGAUUCCAAAGAUGAUCCUUCAUGAGUUUUAUUACUGAAAAUGUUCGUUCUACUAUUAUUAUAUAAACUGAAAGAAUUAACCAUAUUUUUUAGAAUAUAAAAUAUUUUGAGUAGUGGGUUAUCAUUAUUUUUAAUUAAAAUAUAUGUUUUUAUAUCUUUUAAAAGUCAAAGUUUAAACCCGCCUCUGAUUAGAAUAGCUCUUUGUUAUGAAAAGUCCCUCGGCUCCCAUAUUAUACUCUUUUGAGCGUAGUCCCUUCAUCAUAUAUAUAUACACUUUCAUGAGUAAAUGCUCAUUCAAUUUCUAUAUUUUAAAUUAAAUAUCAGUUUAGUUCUUAUAUUUUAAAAAAAUAUAUCAGGACACCCUUUUUAGUAAAACAUGUGAUAUGCUACCCUUACUUUUUCCUUACUGUUACACUAAUAAUACCUUUGCUUCAAUCUUGAGAGUAUUAAUUGAUUUAUCCAUUAAAAAAAUAAUAAGCAAAUUGACUAAUAAUAGUUAAUCUAAAAGGACUAGUAUUUUUCAUAUCCCUGCAAUAAUCUUUCUAAUUAUUAUUUAUAAAUAAAUUAGUACCAGUCAACUUAAAGCUACAUUUAAUAAUUUGUUGUCUUGCUAAUAACUAUCUAUAAAAAUUUAAGUUACUAAAUUAACCCUAAAAUUAAAAUAAUAAUUAAAAAAUUUACUUUAUUUCUUAUUUUAUUUUUGGUGUUAAAUAAUAAUCAAAAGAUUUACUUCAAAUUUGAUGUUAUCAUUUUUUCUUAAUGUCAAUUGUAAGGGAAUUAUUAUUAAAAAAAGAAUAUCAUAUAUUUAAUAAUAAGUGUGUUUUUAAAUAUUUUUCAAAAUAUAAUGAUUAAACAAAUACUUAACUCAAAAUAAAGGUACUAAACACCCACGCCCCAUUUUAACUUAUUUUUCUAUAAUUUUCUUUCUUAUUUAUAUAUCUUUUUGCAAUUGUUCUUCCCUUAAACGAUUAAAAGCUACUACAUAUUCACAUCAGUAGUCACAAAAGCGCCCCUACAAAAACUAAUAAACUGAGGUCCUGUUCGAAAUUGCGUGCUGUAAUUUUUAAGAUACAACUGCUGUGAAAAAAAAAAAGUGUAACUCUGAAAUUAAUAAUAUAUAGUAAAUAUAAAUUUUAAAUAAUAAUUUUGACAAAAUUAUUAAAGAUGUAAUAUUUUUUUAUUAUAAAAAUAAAAAAUCAUAUUAACAUAGUUUUCAAGAUACAACAGUUAGUAUUUAUCAAAUAUUUUAGUGUUGUAUCUUAAAAGUUAUAACUGUCCAAUCUCAAUUUCAAAUGUAACUAUACAAAUAGUUUCGUUAGGAGUUUAACCCCACGACUGUUUUUUUUUUUUUUUUUCUUCCUUGGAAAAAAAAAAAGAGAAAAGCUAUGGAACUUAAAAGAGUCGCACACAAGACACGUUCACCACAUGAAUCGAAUAAAAAAUUAGCCACAAGAAUUUAAUAACUUCAAAAUUAUAGGCUUUUAACAAGACACGAACUGAAAGGCAUAUGCAUACAGCAAAAAUAACUCAUUCUUUCAUUCAAUCCAUAAACAACAAAUAUCUGUAGCAACUAUUAUUACAACAAAAUUUCCUAAUAUUAAUCCAUUCAUUUCAUCUUCUUUCACUUCCCCAAUUAAGGCUUCUUUCAAAAUACCUCCAACUAUACAAAUUUGUUUAACUUGCAACUUAUUGUCGUUACCUGGCUCUUGCUAGGAAAACUCUAUUAUACCAAAUUGAAUGGAGUAACAUAUGAAAGAUAUCAUAUUUAACAGGCUGAGGAUGCCAAAGAAAAUGCUGCUGUACCUUUUUGACCCUCAUCUGCAUCCUACGGUAUCUCUUCUCUGAGAUGGAAAGGAGUAUGUUCUUCAAAUUUGGAAUAUCCUUCUCCAAGACAAAAACAGCAAAGGAUUCCCAGUUCAGUAUCUCGAAAAAUGGAGGCACAAAAUUGUCAGAUAUGAUUACUGGAACACAUUCGUAGAAAAUGGCCUCCACUACUCGGGGACUAUUGACUUCAUAACCUUUUGCACAGAUACAAUAUUUACUGCUCUUCAUAUGCUGGAUGUAAUCCAUUUUGCCCUUCCGCUUGCCCUUACCCUUGCCCUUGCCCUUGCCCUUAACCAUGGGCAUUUGACCAAAUAUUUUCAUGUCAGGAUCUUUAUUUUCCCAGUGGUGUAAUAGAAUGGGGCGUAGAUAGCCAUGCAUUCUUCCAGCAAAGAAAGCCAGGAUCGAUCUCUGUGAAGCAGGUUUUCCGCCAAUCGCCCUAAGAGGGUUCUGAGGUGAGAGCACGUAUGUCUCCGGAAGAGCUACAUCCUUGCCAAAUACAAAGCCUUCUUUAACAUCGGAGUUGCAGAGGGCUCUAAUGCAGUUGGCCAUGAUUAUCCUUGUUUCAGCUGGGGCCUGCAAAUAUGCAAUUAUUAGAAAAAGCAAGUUAAGGGGAAUGAGUCCUGGAAACACUAAAAUAAACAUCAUUUCAUUUAAAUAUGCGAAGCAUUUGAAGUUACAUGUUCAUCUUUUGAAUAAAGUCAUUACUCACAACCCAAGAAGUAAGCAUCAUUCACUUAUCCUAGUUACAAAUUUUCUCGUUUAAUUAAGUCAUAUUGAAUGCAAUUGCAAACUAAACUGAUAAAUUAUCAUCACAAAUAAUGAAAUGUAAAAUUUUGAAAUUCAUGAAGAUCCCAGAUGCACCUAACCAACGUAUACUUAGUACAAUUCAAACACGAAAAACAUACCCAAUCAUGGCAAGCAACGAGGAAAUGAUCUGCUCCUUCAGUUCUAUUCCAGAAAUUAUGUUUGGCUGAAAUCAGGUUGACAUAGUUCCUCAAAUAUUGAAUAAGGUUCUUAUGAUUAUGAGAAUUUUGCACAUAUAAGGUUUCUUCUAACAUCCGAGAACUAAAAGGUAAGUAAAACAGGUGAGCUUUUCUCGAAUCUUUAGUAACAAAUUGUUUGUUAGCUUCUAGCUGCUUCAUGAACCAUCCCUCUGAAGCAUAUAUUCCCUUCAGCACUGGCUCAUGUAAUAUGGGUCUUUGUCCUUCUUUGUAAACAUAA